rnacentral:rRNA from 1 species
AGUCAACAUGCCCAGGGGACGUGGAUAACCUCGGGAAACUGAGGAUAAACCGCGAUAGGUCAUCACUUCUGGAAUGGGUAAUGACUUAAAUCUAUAUGGCCCCUGGAUUGGACUGCGGCCGAUCAGGCUGUUGGUGAGGUAAUGGCCCACCAAACCUGUAACCGGUACGGGCUCUGAGAGGAGGAGCCCGGAGAUGGGCACUGAGACAAGGGCCCAGGCCCUAUGGGGCGCAGCAGGCGCGAAACCUCUGCAAUAGGCGAAAGCUUGACAGGGUUACUCUGAGUGAUUUCCGUUAAGGAGAUCUUUUGGCACCUCUAAAAAUGGUGCAGAAUAAGGGGUGGGCAAGUCUGGUGUCAGCCGCCGCGGUAAUACCAGCACCCCGAGUGGUCGGGACGUUUAUUGGGCCUAAAGCAUCCGUAGCCGGUUCUACAAGUCUUCCGUUAAAUCCACCUGCUUAACAGAUGGGCUGCGGAAGAUACUAUAGAGCUAGGAGGCGGGAGAGGCAAGCGGUACUCGAUGGGUAGGGGUAAAAUCCGUUGAUCCAUUGAAGACCACCAGUGGCGAAGGCGGCUUGCCAGAACGCGCUCGACGGUGAGGGAUGAAAGCUGGGGGAGCAAACCGGAUUAGAUACCCGGGUAGUCCCAGCUGUAAACGAUGCAGACUCGGUGAUGAGUUGGCUUAUUGCUAACUCAGUGCCGCAGGGAAGCCGUUAAGUUUGCCGCCUGGGGAGUACGGUCGCAAGACUGAAACUUAAA